rnacentral:lncRNA from 1 species
CCGAGGGCUAGUUCCGUUGGUGGUCGCGGUUCCAGGCCGGGUCCUCAUGGCGCCUGCCCUUCCCGGUCCCUUUCCGCCUGCGGAGCCGGUCCUGGCGCCCUGGCCCUCGGAUCGUCAUUUCCACCGCCGAGCGCCCGGAGCUUAAGCCCCCGAGUGCGUUUUUGCCGGUGGAGCAGUCCACAAAGCAAAGCCUCCCCUCUGACCUGGCAAAUGAGACGUGGAAUCAGCGAAAGAAAAGCACCAGAAGUAAAGAAACUUUUACAGCUUUUGUUGAUUUGGCUGUUAACGCUGAUCCCCCGAAUCAAAAAAAG